GACGAACGCUGGCGGCGUGCUUAACACAUGCAAGUCGAACGGAAAGGCCUGCUUUCCCUUGUGGAUUGCGGGUGCUCGAGUGGCGAACGGGUGAGUAACACGUGAGUGAUCUGCCCCCAACUUGGGUAUAAGCCUGGGAAACUGGGUCUAAUUCCCGAUAGGACUGCAGGGUGGUGCCUGUGGUGGAAAACGAUUUUCUAGUGGUUGGGGAUGAGCUCGCGGCCUAUCAGCUUGUUGGUGGGGUAAUGGCCUACCAAGGCGGCGACGGGUAGCCGGCCGGAGAGGGGGGACGGCGACAUUGGGACUGAGAUACGGCCCAGACGCCUACGGGAGGCAGCAGUGGGGAAUAAUGGACAAUGGGCGGAAGCCUGAUGCAGCGACGCCGCGUGGGGGAUGACGGCCUUCGGGUUGCAAACUCCUUUCGACCGCGAGGAAGCCACCUGGUUGGAAGGGUGGUGACGGUAGUGGUAGAAGAAGCACCGGCUAACUACGUG
rnacentral:rRNA from 1 species